GGAGACUGUCGCUGGCCCCUCGGGGCAUGUGCACGUCUUGCUUUUCGUCGACCUUUCUCUCAUACACACACCUGUGCACCCAUUGUAGGUCCUCGAAAGAGGAUCUAUGUUUUUCACAUCACACCCGUCGUAUGUCUAUAGAAUGUAUUGAGAACGUCGACCUGUUUCGCAGGCAGGCGGUCCAUAAAAUUAUACAACUUUCAGCAACGGAUCUCUUGGCUCUCGCAUCGAUGAAGAACGCAGCGAAUUGCGAUAAGUAAUGUGAAUUGCAGAUUUUCAGUGAAUCAUCGAAUCUUUGAACGCACCUUGCGCUCCUUGGUAUUCCGAGGAGCAUGCCUGUUUGAGUGUCAUCGAAUUCUCAACCAUGUCUUGAUUGAUUUCAAGGCAUGGCUUGGAGUUGGGGGGUUGCUGGCGGCGAAAUGCUGUCGGCUCUCCUGAAAUGCAUUAGCAAAGGGCGGCGAGUCUUUUGGACGUGCACGGCCUUCGACGUGAUAAUGAUCGUCGUGGCUGGAGCGUUCUGGGACAUGCAUGAAUCGUCCAUUGCUUCCAAUCCCUACGCUAGUCUUUAAGUCACUCAGCUACUAGUCGGUCGUGAGGCUGGCGAACGUUGGGUGGCCAAGGCUUGGCUGUUUUCGAUACUUGACCUCAAAUCAGGUAGGACUACCCGCUGAACCUUAA
rnacentral:rRNA from 1 species